AUUGAACGCUGGCGGCGUGCUUAACACAUGCAAGUCGAUCGGUAACAGGUGUAGCAAUACAUGCUGACGAGAGGCGGACGGGUGAGGAAUAUUUGGGAAUCUGCCCAUCAGCGGGGGACAACCCGGGGAAACCCGGGCUAAUACCGCAUACGCUCUACGGAGGAAAGCCGGGGACCGCAAGGCCCGGCACUGAUGGAUGAGCCCAAAUCGGAUUAGCUAGUUGGCGGGGUAACGGCCCACCAAGGCGACGAUCCGUAGCUGGUCUGAGAGGACGAUCAGCCACACCGGAACUGAGACACGGUCCGGACUCCUACGGGAGGAAGCAGUGGGGAAUAUUGGACAAUGGGGGAAACCCUGAUCCAGCGACGCCGCGUGGGUGAAGAAGGCCUGCGGGUUGUAAAGCCCUUUCGGUAGGGACGAAAGCUCUUGCUCUAACAAGGCAGGAGGUUGACUUAACCUACAUAAGAAGCACCGGCUAACUCUGUGCCAGCCGCCGCAGUAAAAC
rnacentral:rRNA from 1 species